rnacentral:lncRNA from 1 species
UUAUUACUAACCAUUGAUAAUAUGCUGUUAGUCCUAAAUAUAAAGCUUUACUAAACCAAAUGAGAAAUACAUGUACACCCUACAGUUAUUCUUUACAUCAUUAAUACAGUUGACCUAUCGCUUAGUUUCCAAGAAACAAAGAAAACUAAAAUAUUGACCAAUGAACCAUGAAAAUGAGGUCAAGGUCAGAUGAACCAUGCCAGACAGAAGAUAACAUGUGCACCUUACAAUCUUUCCAUACAACAAAUAUACAUGACAUAUUGCUUGUAGUUUAAAAAGAAAAACACAAUGUUUAAAAGUGCACACCUUGAAAUGUCUAUCCUUCUUUACUAACCAGUGAUUUUAUGAUGAUUGUCCUAAAUAUACAGCUUUACUACAAGUAUCCCAUAAACUCAACUUGAACUAAGAAAAUGAGGUCUAGGUCAGAUGAACCAAAUGAGAAAUACAUGUACACCUUACACACCAAAAACAGUUGACCUAUUGCUUAUCGUCAUUUAAUAGUGUCUAAGAAACUGACUUAACCAAGUAAACUAAACAUUGGCCAAUGAAACAUCCCAC